rnacentral:rRNA from 1 species
UACGGAAGGCAGCAGGGGGAAUAUUGCACAAUGGGCGAAAGCCUGAUGCAGCUAUGCCGCGUGUAUGAAGAAGGCCUUAGGGUUGUAAAGUACUUUCAUCGGGGAGGAAAAAACAAAACUAAUAAUUUUAUUUCUUGACGUUACCCGAAAAAGAAGCACCGGCUAACUCCGUGCCAGCAGCCGCGGUAAUACGGAGGGUGCUAGCGUUAAUCAGAAUUACUGGGCGUAAAGAGCACGUAGGUGGUUUUUUUAAAGUCAGAUGUGAAAUCCCUGGGCUUAACCUAGGAACUGCAUUUUGAAACUGAAAUACUAGAGUAUCGUAGAGGGAGGUAGAAUUCUAGGUGUAGCGGUGAAAUGCGUAGAUAUCUGGAGGAAUACCUGUGGCGAAAGCGGCCUCCUAAACGAAUACUGACACUGAGGGUGCGAAAGCGUGGGGAGCAAACGAGGGAUUAGAUACCCGU